CCUACGGGAGGCAGCAGUGGGGAAUGUUGCGCAAUGGGGGGAACCCUGACGCAGCAACGCCGCGUGCGGGACGAAGGCCCUCGGGUUGUAAACCGCUUGCAGCAGGGAAGAGCCAAGACGGGACCGGCAGAAGAAGCGCCGGCUCACUACGUGCCAGCAGCCGCGGUAAUACGGAGGGGGCGAGCGUAAUCAGGGUUCCUUGGGCGUAAGGCGCGCGGAGGCGGCCGCCUAAGCGGGCCCUCUACCCCCGGGGCUCAACCCCGGGCCGCGUCCCGGACUGGGCGGCUCGAGUGCGGUAGAGGCGAGCGGAAUUCCCGGUGUAGCGGUGGAAUGCGCAGAUCUCGGGCAGAACACCGAUGGCGAAGGCAGCUCUCUGGGCCGUCACUGACGCUGAGGCGCGAAAGCUGGGGGAGCGAACAGGAUUAGAUACCCCUGUAGUC
rnacentral:rRNA from 1 species